CAGCAGCCGCGGUAAUACGUAGGGUGCAAGCGUUAAUCGGAAUUACUGGGCGUAAAGCGUGCGCAGGCGGUUUGUUAAGACAGAUGUGAAAUCCCCGGGCUCAACCUGGGAACUGCAUUUGUGACUGGCAAGCUAGAGUCUGGCAGAGGGGGGUGGAAUUCCGCGUGUAGCAGUGAAAUGCGUAGAUAUGCGGAGGAACACCGAUGGCGAAGGCAGCCCCCUGGGCCAACACUGACGCUCAUGCACGAAAGCGUGGGGAGCAAACAGGAUUAGAUACCCCUGUAGUCCCUGUCUCUUAUAC
rnacentral:rRNA from 1 species